GCAUAUCAAUAAGCGGAGGAAAAAGAAACCAACAGGGAUUGCCCUAGUAACGGCGAGUGAAGCGGCAACAGCUCAAAUUUGAAAUCUGGCGUCUUUGGCGUCCGAGUUGUAAUUUGCAGAGGGCGCUUUGGCAUUGGCAGCGGUCCAAGUUCCUUGGAACAGGACGUCACAGAGGGUGAGAAUCCCGUACGUGGUCGCUAGCCUUUACCGUGUAAAGCCCCUUCGACGAGUCGAGUUGUUUGGGAAUGCAGCUCUAAAUGGGAGGUAAAUUUCUUCUAAAGCUAAAUACUGGCCAGAGACCGAUAGCGCACAAGUAGAGUGAUCGAAAGAUGAAAAGCACUUUGGAAAGAGAGUUAAAAAGCACGUGAAAUUGUUGAAAGGGAAGCGCUUGCAGCCAGACUUGCCUGUAGUUGCUCAUCCGGGUUUUUACCCGGUGCACUCUUCUAUAGGCAGGCCAGCAUCAGUUUGGGCGGUUGGAUAAAGGUCUCUGUCAUGUACCUCUCUUCGGGGAGAACUUAUAGGGGAGACGACAUGCAACCAGCCUGGACUGAGGUCCGCGCAUCUGCUAGGAUGCUGGCGUAAUGGCUGUAAGCGGCCCGUCUUGAAACACGGACCAAGGAGUCUAACAUCUAUGCGAGUGUUUGGGUGUCAAGCCCGAGCGCGUAAUGAAAGUGAACGGAGGUGGGAACCCCUCGGGGUGCACCAUCGACCGAUCCUGAUGUCUUCGGAUGGAUUUGAGUAAGAGCAUAGCUGUUGGGACCCGAAAGAUGGUGAACUAUGCUUGAAUAGGGUGAAGCCAGAGGAAACUCUGGUGGAGGCUCGCAGCGGUUUCUGACGUGCAAAUCGAUCGUCAAAUUUGGGGCAUAGGGGCGAAAGACUAAUCGAACUAUCUAGUAGCUGGUUCCUGCUGA
rnacentral:rRNA from 1 species